rnacentral:lncRNA from 1 species
GACAGCAUGCAUCCUUGGCACUGCUGCCAAUUCCAAUGUGAAUGAGGCCACCCAACACAUCCACACAAGCUCCCAACUUGAGAGUGUCGAUGGGACACGUGUUCUUUGGUGGUGAUGGGGUUGGCACUGGUGUUGGUGGUGGUGGAGGAGGACAUGGUGUCUCAGUGGGUGGAGGAGGCUUAACUGGUACAACUGGGGUAGGUGUAGGUGUUGGUGGGCUUGGUGGUACAACAGGUGGUGAUGGUGGUGGCUUAACUGGUACAACUGGGGUAGGUGUUGGUGUUGGUGGGCUUGGUGGUACAACAGGUGGUGAUGGUGGUGGCUUAACUGGUACAACUGGGGGCUUGGGUACAUAGGGUGGUGGGGGUUGUACAACUGGGGGCUUGGGUACAUAUGGUGGUGGUGGUUGUACAACUGGGGGUUUGGGGAUGAAGGGUGGGUGCACAAUUGGGGGUUUAGGGAUAAAAGGUGGGUGCACGAUUGGGGGCUUGGGGAUGAAGGGUGGGUGCACAAUUGGGGGCUUGGGGAUGAAGGGUGGGUGCACAAUUGGGGGUUUAGGGAUGAAGGGUGGGUGCACAAUUGGGGGUUUAGGGAUGAAGGGUGGGUGCACAAUUGGGGGUUUAGGGAUGAAGGGUGGGUGCACAAUUGGGGGCUUGGGGAUGAAGGGUGGGUGCACAAUUGGGGGCUUGGGGUGGGGUGGUGGUUUGACAAUAGGAGGCUUGGGGAUGAAGGGAGGUCUCACAAUAGGUGGUUUGGGGACAGAAGGAGGUUUUGGUAUAUGGGGAGGAUAUACAAUGGGGGGUUUGGGGCCAUGAGGUGGCUUGGGUACAUGGGGUGGAUGAGGAUGAGGUGGCUUUGAUGGUGGCUUGGGAACAUAGGGAGGCUUUACAUGAGGGGGAUGGGGUGGUUUUGAUGGUGGUUUGGGAACAUAGGGAGGCUUUACAUGAGGAGGAAGAGGUGGUUUUGAUGGUGGUUUGGGAACAGAGGGAGGCUUUACAUGAGGGGGAUGAGGUGGGUGUUUAGGUGGUUUAGGGAUGAAGGGUGGCUUUACAUGAGGAGGCUGUUUGGGUGGCAAGUGUGGAGGGUAUGUUGGUGGUGGACAGUAGGAGUUAGCAAGAGAAGUGAGCAAACUACCCAAAUUCACAAUGAGGACUAAGAGCAAAGCCAGG